rnacentral:rRNA from 1 species
AUUGAACGCUGGCGGCAGGCCUAACACAUGCAAGUCGAACGAGUGGCGGACGGGUGAGUAAUGUCUGGGAAACUGCCUGAUGGAGGGGGCUACCUACUGGAAUCGGUAGCUAAUAUCGAAUACCAUCAUAUGUGUCCAGAUGGGAUUAGCUAGUUGGUGGGGUAACGGCUCACCAAGGCGACGAGCCCUAGCUGGUCUGAGAGGAUGACGCGCCACAGUGGAACUGAGACACGGGCCAUACUCCUACGGGAGGCAGGAGUGGGAAAUAUUGCACAAUGGGCGCAAGCCUGAUGCAGCCAUUGCGCGUAGAUGAAGAAGGCCUUCGGGUUGUAAAGUACUUUCAGCGGGGGGGCGUUACCCGCAGAAGAAGCACCGGCUAACUCCGUGCCAGCAGCCGCGGUAAUAC